rnacentral:rRNA from 1 species
AUGGCUGCCACCAGCCUCAGUUCCUCUCCCUCCAAGGUUGCCACUGCCAAACUAGGAGGCAUCUCCAGAUCUUCCCCGUCCUACACCCAGCUCGCCUUCUGCUCCAGGCAUGCUUUCCACAAGAUAGGAACCGCUGCAGCUCCGCAGAGGCCUCAGAAUGAGCUCAAGCACGCAAGACCCUGCGCGACCACGGACAACGAUCGGGCGGCGCCGGCGGAGGCACAGGAGGAAAAUGCGACCAUCAGCGCCGGCGUGAACCCGGUGGCGUCCGGCAACGGCCAGCAGCCGCAGCCGGGCGAGCCGCCGAAGCGGGUGCCGCUGACGGCGCGGGAGCGGCUGCGCGCGGCGCGCGUGCUGGGCAAGUACGCGGAGUCGGGGGCCGGGGCGUCGCCGGCGGACAAGAAGGGCUCGUCGUCGUCGUCGUCCAAGCCGGAGUUCGGGAGCCGGGUGCUGGACGCGCUGCGGGAGACGGACGGCGGCAAGAAGGGCGGGCGGAAGCGGUCGGGGCUGCCGGAGGCGCCGAGCAACCUGCUGGACGACACCAAGCGCGGCAUGCCCAAGGACGGGUGGACGUUCGACUGGCUGGCGGCGCUGCCCGUGGGCACGGACGUGCUCAUCGUCGCAGCGUCCUUCGGGAUCAUCACCACCGUCAUGUUCGGGACCACGUACCUCGUCUGGAAGCUCGGCGCCAUACAUUUCAACGAGUACUAG